rnacentral:ncRNA from 2 species
UGCACGAGACGCGACUGGCGCAUUGGGUGGGAUCGACCACCAGGGAGCGAAAGGAGCGGAGGCCGUGCGCCUGGGUCUUCGCA